rnacentral:lncRNA from 1 species
UCAUGGAGGCUCAUGGUCUGGUCCAGGUCUCACAGCUAAUAUGAGGCAAAGUUCUCAGAGCAGUGCCUAGCACGGGAAGCACCCCUAUGAACAUUUAGGAGAUGUGGGCAGUGGUUAAGAACGUCUGGGUAUCAGCUUUCCUUCAAGUUCCAGUGUGGACUGAAGACCAAAGCCUCUAGGAAUCUCCUGACUGAAACUGAUGAGAACCAGCAUCAUGGACCUGGUUCUCAGUAUCAAAGACCUGGCUCUCAGUAUCAUGGACCUUGUUCUCGGCAUCAUGGACCUGGUUCUCAGCUUCUCCAGCACGCAGAUGGCAAUUGUUAGACUACAUAGCCUUGAUCAGUUGUAAGUCAUACUAGUAAAUCCUGUCAGAGCACAAAU